rnacentral:rRNA from 1 species
CCUACGGGAGGCAGCAGUGGGGAAUAUUGCACAAUGGGGGAAACCCUGAUGCAGCGACGCCGCGUGAGUGAAGAAGUAUUUCGGUACGUAAAGCUCUAUCAGCAGGGAAGAAAAUGACGGUACCUGACUAAGAAGCCCCGGCUAACUACGUGCCAGCAGCCGCGGUAAUACGUAGGGGGCAAGCGUUAUCCGGAUUUACUGGGUGUAAAGGGAGCGUAGACGGCAGGGCAAGUCUGGAGUGAAAUCCCAUGGCUUAACCGUGGAACUGCUUUGGAAACUGUGCAGUUAGAGUACAGGAGAGGUAGGCGGAAUUCCUGGUGUAGCGGUGAAAUGCGUAGAUAUUAGGAAGAACACCGGUGGCGAAGGCAGCUUACUAAACUGUAACUGACAUUGAGGCUCGAAAGCGUGGGGAGCAAACAGGAUUAGAUACCCGUGUAGUC